rnacentral:rRNA from 1 species
AUUGAACGCUGGCGGCAUGCCUAACACAUGCAAGUCGAACGGAAACAGGACGCUGGGAUCCCUUCGGGGUGAACUUGUCGCUGUCGAGUGGCGGACGGGUGAGUAAUGCGUAGGAAUUUACCUCAAAGCGGGGGAUAGCCCGGAGAAAUCCGGAUUAAUACCGCAUGUGCUCUACGGAGGAAAGCGGGCCUCUACUUGUAAGCUCGCACUUUGAGAUAAGCCUACGUCGGAUUAGCUUGUUGGUAGGGUAAAGGCCUACCAAGGCGACGAUCCGUAGCUGGUUUGAGAGGAUGAUCAGCCACACCGGAACUGAGACACGGUCCGGACUCCUACGGGAGGCAGCAGUGGGGAAUAUUGGACAAUGGGCGCAAGCCUGAUCCAGCAAUGCCGCGUGUGUGAAGAAGGCCUUCGGGUUGUAAAGCACUUUCAGUAAGAAAGAAAAGCAGGGUGCUAAUACCACCUUGUCAUGACGUUACUUACAGAAGAAGCACCGGCUAACUCCGUG